AGUCUGCAACUCGACUACAUGAAGCUGGAAUCGCUAGUAAUCGCGGAUCAGAAUGCCGCGGUGAAUACGUUCCCGGGCCUUGUACACACCGCCCGUCAAGCCAUGGGAGCCGGGGGCGCCUGAAGUCCGGGACCGCGAGGACCGGCCUAGGGCGAAACUGGUAACUGGGGCUAAGUCGUAACAAGGUACC
rnacentral:rRNA from 1 species